GUCUAUGGACAUGCUAUCCUAAACACGCCCAAUCCCGUCUGAUCUCAGAAGCUAAGCAGGGUCGGGCUUGGUUAGUACUUAGAUGAGAGACCACCUAGGAAGACCAGGUGCUGUAGGUG
rnacentral:rRNA from 1 species